rnacentral:rRNA from 1 species
AUACGUAGGUGACAAGCGUUAUCCGGAUUUACUGGGCGUAAAGGGCGUGUAGGCGGUCUUGCAAGUCAGAAGUGAAAUUCCUGAGCUCAACUCGGGCGCUGCUUCUGAAACUGCAGGACUUGAGUGCUGGAGGGGAUAGCGGAAUUCCUAGUGGAGCGGUAAAAUGCGCAGAUAUUAGGAAGAACACCGGUGGCGAAGGCGGCUAUCUGGACAGUGACUGACGCUGAGGCGCGAAAGCGUGGGGAGCAAACAGGAUGAGAUCCCCUGGUAGUCCACGCCGUAAACGAUGAAUACUAGGUGUAGGGGGUAUCGACUCCCUCUGUGCCGCAGUUAACACAAUAAGUAUUCCGCCUGGGGAGUACGGCCGCAAGGUUGAAACUCAAAUGAAUUGGCGGGG